rnacentral:lncRNA from 1 species
CGCCAUGUUGGUCUAGGCCAGGGAUCGAUUCUCCUCAGACGCAGAAUUGCUUGCUUUAUCCCUUUGGCCACAUGGGUAUGGGCCUCUUUCUUAAGGCCCAUUUGAAAGCCUGGGGGGGACACUACCCGUGGAAUACCCUCUCCCCAGAGAUUAGUCUCGGAUCCUUCCAUUGGUCUGGGGAUUUACCAUGAGUUAACAAAAAAAAGAAAAAAUGAAAAAUUAAGAGAGGAUAAACUGAAUUUCUCACUUAACCUUCGUUAAGUGACUAUGCAAGAGCCUAAAAC